AAUAAAUAAAUAAAUCUUUAAAAAAAAAAAAGGAUCUUUAAAAAAUAAUAAAAGAGCUAGGUAUGGAAGCACACAAUUGUUCUGGUGGUGUUUUUCUUGAGUUUUUCCAUGUAGCUUUUGGCUGUCAGGGAACUAACUCUGUAGACCAGGCUGGCCUUGAACUCAAGAGCUCCACCUGCCUCUGCCUCCUGAGUGCUGAAGUUAAAGGCGUGGGCCACCAGGAUGGCCCUGCACACUUGUAACCCAGUGCUUAGGAGGUGGGCGCAGGAGAACUAGGAUUUGAAGGCUACACUUAGAUACAGGAGACGUUAUCACACACUGAGCUUCUAUGUUUGCCAUUCAAGGGUGCAGCUGGAAACGGACUUGAAGAUCGAGAAGGAAUGGAGACAGACUUUGCAAGAAGAUCUUCAAAAGGAAAAAGAUGUCCUAUCUCAUCUUAGACAUGAAACCCAAAAAGUCAUAAGUCUUAAAAAAGUAAAUAGUGGUAAAACUUUAAAUUUUACAACUUGACAAGUUGCUGGAAGCAGGAUUUCAUAAUAUAGUUCAGACUAUCUUUGAACUCUAGAGCAAAAUCUGGCUUUGAACUCACAGCAGUUCUGUCUCUGCCUCAGGAGUGCUGGGACUAAGGCAUGAGCCACUGUGCCCGACUUCUCGUUAGCUUUUAUAAAUGAUUUGGGGGCGGAGGGGAUGGCUGUCAGUAAAGUGUCUGUAGGACCUAGUCUCGGGUCUGAGGAGGCAUCCCUGGCACUGACCAGCCAGUCUAGCCUACUUUGUGAGCUUCUGGCCAGUGAAAGGCUGUGUCUCAAAGGAAGUGGUAGGCAGUCUUAAGUACAACCAGGGCUAUCGUCCAACCUCCACACAAAGACAUACAUCUUUUAAGACAAGAUACUUUAAACAAUUUACAUAUAUACGAAUAAACAGGAUAUAGUGGUCCUCUUAGGAAUAUGAUGAGUAAGGAGGUUGUACUGAGUAGGCUGAGGCAGGAGAAUCGGGAAGUUGAGGCUAGCCUAGUUAGAGUGACAUCCAGGACAGUUUGAGCUAGGAUUCCAGCUCAUACACGGUAGUUCAGAACCAUCUCUAGCUCCAGCUGCAGGUCUGAUGCCUUCUUCUAGCCUCUGGGCAUCAAGCAUGCACAUGGAGACACACGCAUGCACGCAGGCAAGAACACUCACACAUGCACAUCUUUUUUACAAGAGAGAAAUGGAGGGAGGUAGAAAGUGUCUGAAAAUUCCUUCCUUAUCCGAGCUUGACAGAAUACUCCUGUAAUGCCAGCACUCGGGACAUAAAAGCACAAUCAGAACAAAGAUAUUUACACUUUCCUACUUAGUGAUACAUAUGUAAUUUGGAGGGCUUUUUUCUCCUUUUAAGUUAUAUUUUCUGUUUUCUACUGAAGGAGUUUCUUAACCUCCAGGAUGAAAAUCAGCAGUUGAAAAGGAUUUAUCAGGAACAAGAACAAGCUCUGCAAGAACUUGGCAGCAAACUCUGCGAGUAAUUCCUCUCUUCCUUCAGCUAAGUGCUCACAAACGGGUGAAAGGCACACACAUCAGCUGUGCAGAGGGCUACUUGAGUAUGGGGAUAAAAACCAAGGCUAGAUACUUUGGAGGGAUUUCAGUAGUUCUGUGCAUUCCAGUAGACACUGGCUCUGAAGGGUUCCAGUAAGUGAGAGCAAAAACUAUUGCUUGAGUUCUUCAGUGAUAAAGACUCCAGAAACUUAAUUUUGUCGGGACAACAAAAGCUGAAUUUUGAAAAUGUCCAGGGCUUUCAGACUAUUGACAGAGCAGGUUUGUUGGGAAGUAAAUGUAGUUUCUAUCCUACAGGGGUCAGUGUGAUUCUGUAGUAGAAUGCUAUUGGGAUCCAUAGUGAAAAGGAAGCCAGGAAAGGCUGUAAUCUCAGCACCUGGAAGGGAGACAGGAAGGUCCGGAAUUCAAGCCAUCCUCAGUUACACAAAGAAUCAGGGCCAGCCUUGAGAGCAUGCCUUU
rnacentral:lncRNA from 1 species